rnacentral:SRP_RNA from 1 species
GCUGGGCGUGGUGGCGCACGCCUCUAAUCCCAGCUACUAGGGAGGCUGAGGCAGGAGAGUUGCUCGAGCCUGGGAGUGAGAGGUUGCAGUGAGCGAGAUCGCGCCACUGCACUCCAGUCUGGGCGACAGAGUGAGACCCUGUCUCAA